UGAUAAUUAGGAGUUGCUACCAUCUUCAUCAUCAUCACCACCAUCAUCCACACCACCACCAUCAUCUUCAUCACUAUUUACAUCAUCAUUAUUAUUUUCAUCUAAUAAAGAGAAAACUCAAUGCUUGUCAUGGCUUUAAUGAGCUUCAUGGCAUAGUGAAAACAUGACUUUGAAUUCAGGUAGCCUUCCACUCUGUGCCACUCAUAAGCUAUGUGACCUCAUACAAGUCAUUAUAUUUCUCUAAAUCUGUUUUCUCAUUUGUAAAAUGAGCACAGCUUUCAAGAGGAUGUUGAAGAAGUAAUGAGGAAUGUUGAUUAUGCCUGGCAUGGAACAAGUCAUUUAACCAAUGUUGACUCCCCAUCUCCCAUAUCCAGUCCUGUAUCCUCAACAGACUGCUUAGUUGGUGGUAUAUCUCAGACUAUGGACACAAACAUGGCAUUUCCAUUUGGAGAGAGGGAAAGAGCAGUGGUCAGAAAGCCAUCACUAGAGAUAACAAAACUGCAGAAUGGGAGUGACAGAUUAUCAAGUCACUGCAGGGAAGACGGUUGUCCUGGAAAGCAGCUGAAAUUCCACAGGACUUUUGUGAGCGAAAAAUAAACCAUUGUUGCAUUAAGCAACUCCAGUUUUGAAGUUUGUUACAGCGGCAUACGCUAACCUAUACUGAUUAAAACAAUGAUGAUCAAUCAAGUCCAUUUAUCUGAUUGUGGUUCUUGCUCUGAAUGCAUUAGUGGGUUGGUGGAUACUGCCCUCUCAGGGGCUGAUGGACUUACUUCCAGAGCAGAUUUUGGGUAGAGCAGAUGGAACCUGGAACUCCUGAGUCCAGAGAUCUGUCAUGACACUCGUGCCCUUUUAUGCAAUCUGAAGCUGUUCCCUUACAG
rnacentral:lncRNA from 1 species